GACGAACGCUGGCGGCGUGCCUAAUACAUGCAAGUUGAGCGCUGAAGGUUGGUACUUGUACCAACUGGAUGAGCAGCAAACGGGUGAGUAACGCGUGGGGAAUCUGCCUUUGAGCGGGGGACAACAUUUGGAAACGAAUGCUAAUACCGCAUAAAAACUUUAAACACAAGUUUUAAGUUUGAAAGAUGCAAUUGCAUCACUCAAAGAUGAUCCCGCGUUGUAUUAGCUAGUUGGUGAGGUAAAGGCUCACCAAGGCGAUGAUACAUAGCCGACCUGAGAGGGUGAUCGGCCACAUUGGGACUGAGACACGGCCCAAACUCCUACGGGAGGCAGCAGUAGGGAAUCUUCGGCAAUGGACGAAAGUCUGACCGAGCAACGCCGCGUGAGUGGAGAAGGUUUUCGGAUCGUAAAACUCUGUUGGUAGAGAAGAACGUUGGUGAGAGUGGAAAGCUCAUCAAGUGACGGUAACUACCCAGAAAGGGACGGCUAACUACGUG
rnacentral:rRNA from 1 species